rnacentral:rRNA from 1 species
AGAGUUUUGAUUAUGGCUCAGGACGAACGCUGGCGGCGUGCCUAAUACAUGCAAGUCGAGCGGACAGAUGGGAGCUUGCUCCCUGAUGUUAGCGGCGGACGGGUGAGUAACACGUGGGUAACCUGCCUGUAAGACUGGGAUAACUCCGGGAAACCGGGGCUAAUACCGGAUGGUUGUUUGAACCGCAUGGUUCAGACAUAAAAGGUGGCUUCGGCUACCACUUACAGAUGGACCCGCGGCGCAUUAGCUAGUUGGUGAGGUAACGGCUCACCAAGGCGACGAUGCGUAGCCGACCUGAGAGGGUGAUCGGCCACACUGGGACUGAGACACGGCCCAGACUCCUACGGGAGGCAGCAGUAGGGAAUCUUCCGCAAUGGACGAAAGUCUGACGGAGCAACGCCGCGUGAGUGAUGAAGGUUUUCGGAUCGUAAAGCUCUGUUGUUAGGGAAGAACAAGUGCCGUUCAAAUAGGGCGGCACCUUGACGGUACCUAACCAGAAAGCCACGGCUAACUACGUGCCAGCAGCCGCGGUAAUACGUAGGUGGCAAGCGUUGUCCGGAAUUAUUGGGCGUAAAGGGCUCGCAGGCGGUUUCUUAAGUCUGAUGUGAAAGCCCCCGGCUCAACCGGGGAGGGUCAUUGGAAACUGGGGAACUUGAGUGCAGAAGAGGAGAGUGGAAUUCCACGUGUAGCGGUGAAAUGCGUAGAGAUGUGGAGGAACACCAGUGGCGAAGGCGACUCUCUGGUCUGUAACUGACGCUGAGGAGCGAAAGCGUGGGGAGCGAACAGGAUUAGAUACCCUGGUAGUCCACGCCGUAAACGAUGAGUGCUAAGUGUUAGGGGGUUUCCGCCCCUUAGUGCUGCAGCUAACGCAUUAAGCACUCCGCCUGGGGAGUACGGUCGCAAGACUGAAACUCAAAGGAAUUGACGGGGGCCCGCACAAGCGGUGGAGCAUGUGGUUUAAUUCGAAGCAACGCGAAGAACCUUACCAGGUCUUGACAUCCUCUGACAAUCCUAGAGAUAGGACGUCCCCUUCGGGGGCAGAGUGACAGGUGGUGCAUGGUUGUCGUCAGCUCGUGUCGUGAGAUGUUGGGUUAAGUCCCGCAACGAGCGCAACCCUUGAUCUUAGUUGCCAGCAUUCAGUUGGGCACUCUAAGGUGACUGCCGGUGACAAACCGGAGGAAGGUGGGGAUGACGUCAAAUCAUCAUGCCCCUUAUGACCUGGGCUACACACGUGCUACAAUGGACAGAACAAAGGGCAGCGAAACCGCGAGGUUAAGCCAAUCCCACAAAUCUGUUCUCAGUUCGGAUCGCAGUCUGCAACUCGACUGCGUGAAGCUGGAAUCGCUAGUAAUCGCGGAUCAGCAUGCCGCGGGUGAAUACGUUCCCGGGGCCUUGUACACACCGCCCGUCACACCACGAGAGUUUGUAACACCCGAAGUCGGUGAGGUAACCUUUAUGGAGCCAGCCGCCGAAGGUGGGACAGAUGAUUGGGGU